CCUACACUGCUUCCUGUUUCUUUCUUCCCAACUGUCUGGAUGAAGAUCUUCUCACAGAUGAAGAACUGCUUUUCUCACUCCUAUUGUCCAUGCCAUUUGAUAGCAACGAGGGAAACUUUGUGGGCACUAAAUGCUGCCGAACCAUGGAAAAAAAAAAUAAAAUCGAAUCGCUCUGCGACUAGCAUGGUGUGGCUACAGCAAGGCAGAUCCUAGUGAGUUGGAAUCAUAUCAUUCUGAGCAUCUGCACCACUCCUCCUUGGAGAGGGCAUACUAAUCAUCUCUCUUCAUGGUCAGUAACCACAUAAGGACAACACCAGACGAUGCCAGUGGUUUUGGUCCUGUAGCAUUUAUAUGCUACCCUACAAAGAGAGUCAUGCCAGAUAAUAUUCGUCAACCUUGUCCUUGGUCUUCUUUCCUGAUUGAGGCAGAUGUUUAUUUUCCAUCUGCACUGUCAGUGCAACUGCAGCCUUCAUCUGGCAAAGGGUGCCAGUAAUAUUAUGAGGCCAUCGCAUAAACUGCUGGAAAGAUUACUCUGGUGAAUAAAAUCAGUUUAUGGCUAAAAACAUUUAUUCUUAAUUUUGAUAAGCCCUUAACAAAUGGAAAUUUGCUUCCUUACACUUUUGCCAAGCAUAGGACCAUGUUUAUUUCCUACUAUAUGGGUCACGAAGGAUUCCCAGCUGUUAGAUAGAGUCAGUUGUGCAUUGCUGCACUCGGCAACAUCUGUUUCACAAAGACAGUAUCCAGCUUUUAGCGCUCAAAUGGAGGUUCUACCAUAUGCCAGCAGACCACUUAGUUUUUACCUUGGGAACCAACUUUACACUAGUCAAGGUAACAGAGUAAGAACCGAAUAUUUAAAUGUUACUAGGCUUCAGUCACAUCUUCAUGUGCUCUUGUCAUUUCCAACUAUAUAUAGUAAAAUUAGUUCCAAGCAUAUACCACAAGCUGUUCCUCUGUUUAAUUAUUAACUGGAAGAAAGUUUGUUUGCAAAACAGUUGAAAUGUAUUUUGUGAUAUACUCUGAUGUUGAAAGCAGUGCCAUAAAAUGAUUUGCAAAUACAGAA